CGCAUCUGUGCAUGCAGCAUAUCAAUAGGCGGAGGAAAAGAAACUAACAAGGAUUCCCUUAGUAACGGCGAGUGAAGCGGGAAGAGCUCAAAUUUGAAAUCUUCAAGGUUUUACCUUGACGAAUUGUAGUUUAAAGAAGUGUUUUCUGCUGAAGUUUUGGUAAAAGUUCUUUGGAAUAGGACAUCAUAGAGGGUGAGAAUCCCGUAUUUGACCAUUAUUUUCAGCUUUGUGAUACACUUUCAAAGAGUCGGAUUGUUUGGGAAUGCAGUCCAAAAUGGGUGGUAAAUUUCAUCUAAAGCUAAAUAUUGGCGAGAGACCGAUAGCGAACAAGUACCGUGAGGGAAAGAUGAAAAGAACUUUGAAAAGAGAGUUAAACAGUACGUGAAAUUGUCAAAAGGGAAGCGUUUGACACCAGUGUUGUUUUCUCGAAAAUCAAUUAAAAAUGGCUCGAUUUUGUAUUGCUUGAGACCUUAAAAGCUCACUGUACAUUUUUCGUGUCUUUUUUAAUGCACUUUUCGUUUAACAAGUCAACAUCAGUUUCUUUUGCUGUAAAAAAGCUUGAGGAAGGUGGCUUGAGAUUCGUCUUAAGUGUUUAUAGCCUCUUGCCUAUGCAGUCGGAGAGAUUGAGGUCUGCAGCGUAGAUCCUUCGGGGCUAAAUGCAUUUGUGCUAAGUUAUAGCAUUUUAUAGACAACUUGUUGACUAUGAUUUGUCUUGUAGCUUACUCGCUUAUGUUAUUUUACCUACGCUUAGGAUGUUGAUAGUCACAGCGUGUAC
rnacentral:rRNA from 1 species